rnacentral:piRNA from 1 species
UAAAAUAGUGUCACUGUUUCAUGACUAA